rnacentral:rRNA from 1 species
UACAGAGGGGGCAAGCGUUGUUCGGAAUUACUGGGCGUAAAGGGCGCGUAGGCGGCCAACUAAGUCAGACGUGAAAUCCCCUGGCUUAACCGGGGAACUGCGUCCGAUACUGGUUGGCUUGAGUUUGGGAGAGGGAUGCGGAAUUCCAGGUGUAGCGGUGAAAUGCGUAGAUAUCUGGAGGAACACCGGUGGCGAAGGCGGCAUCCUGGACCAAUACUGACGCUGAGGAGCGAAAGCCAGGGGAGCAAACGGG